ensembl:snRNA U6 U6 spliceosomal RNA
GUGUUUGCUUUGGCAGCACACACACUAAAAUUGGAACAAUACAGAGAUUAGCAUAGCCCCUAUGCAAGAAUGACACACAAAUUCAUAAAGUGUUCCAUCUUUUU